rnacentral:rRNA from 1 species
GAUUAGAUACCCUAGUAUAUAUUUAUAAAAUUAAAUUAGUAUAUUUUGAAAUUUGAAAUUUUUGGCGGUUAUUUAUUGAUUAGAGGAGCUUGUUGAUUUUGGAAUUUGCACUUUAUAUCUAAUUUAUUAAGGUUUAUUCAUCUCUGUUAUAAAAUAAAAGAUUAUAAUAAUAUAUUAUUAAUAUUUCAGGUCAAGAUGUAGCUUUUAUUUAUGAAAAUUAGCUACAUUUAUGAAAAUAUUUGGAUUAUUUUAGGAAAUUUAUAUUUAUGAAAAUGAAUUUAGUUGUAAUGAUAAUUAUAAUAUUUAUUAUGAAGUAAAUUAAAUAGUGUACAGAUUGCCCGUCACUUCUUUUGUAAAAUGGAAUAAGUCGUAACAAAGUA